rnacentral:tRNA from 1 species
GCCUGGGUGGCUCAGUCGGUUGGGCGUCUGACUUCGGCUCAGGUCAUGAUCUCCCAGUCUGUGAGUUCGAGCCCCGCAUCGGGUU